rnacentral:rRNA from 1 species
GUCUACCGUCAUGCUACCCUGAGCAAGCUUGAUCCCAUCUGAUCUCGGAAACUAAGCAGGGUCGAGCCUGGUUAGUACUUGGAUGGGAGACCACUUAGGAAGACCAGGUGCUGUAGACG